ACCCAACGCGCGGCCAAUCGACAAGUUCAUUUGCAUUGCACGGGUGACAUACGUGGGCACUCAGGAUGGCAGGGCUACAGCACUAGUGACUUGCUUCAUGAGUAUAGGUUUGCCAUCUGCCCAGAAAAAAGGGAAUACCUCUUGGGUUGCCAAUCCUCCAGGACUGUCCUGGACUCUCCAGGAAGAUUGCCAUGUGAUGAAACCUCCAGGAAUGCGUCCAACCAACACUGGCAACCCGAAAUACCUCUCUUCCUCUGCAUCUGACAUUCAGGUCCACAGCUCAUAUUAACUGCCAGGAGCCCUCCAGGAAUCAGCACGAAAACCGGUGGGGGAGGGGGAAGGAAAAACCCACCUAAAAACAAACCAAAAAUAUCUUUGGAAAAAGCCACACUGUGGAGCGUGGGGAAGAUGCUGUGGCCCUUCUUGACAGCUAAC